GCAAUCUAUGACAACACAUAUACUAAAAAUGAAACAAUACAGAGAAGAUUAGCAAGUCUCCUGUGUAAGGAGGACAUGUAAAUUUGUAAAACAUCCUACAUUUCU